rnacentral:rRNA from 1 species
GAUGAACGCUGGCGGCGUGCCUAAUACAUGCAAGUCGAGCGAACAGACGAGGAGCUUGCUCCUCUGACGUUAGCGGCGGACGGGUGAGUAACACGUGGAUAACCUACCUAUAAGACUGGGAUAACUUCGGGAAACCGGAGCUAAUACCGGAUAAUAUAUUGAACCGCAUGGUUCAAUAGUGAAAGACGGUUUUGCUGUCACUUAUAGAUGGAUCCGCGCCGCAUUAGCUAGUUGGUAAGGUAACGGCUUACCAAGGCAACGAUGCGUAGCCGACCUGAGAGGGUGAUCGGCCACACUGGAACUGAGACACGGUCCAGACUCCUACGGGAGGCAGCAGUAGGGAAUCUACCGCAAUGGGCGAAAGCCUGACGGAGCAACGCCGCGUGAGUGAUGAAGGUCUUCGGAUCUUAAAACUCUGUUAUUAGGGAAGAACAAAUGUGUAAGUAACUAUGCACGUCUUGACGGUACCUAAUCAGAAAGCCACGGCUAACUACGUG